GAGAUCCAGAUUUUACUCAUUGUCUUUUUGGUAUUUUUGUAAUGCUUGAGAAGUUAAAAUACUAAUACGAGUAUACAUCAAUGACAAGAGAAGUGGAAGGACAUGAACAUAACAUGACAAGGACACAUUACUAUCAAACAUAAACAAAGGGAAGAAGCGAGAAUAUAUGACAAAAUAUAAUUGUAUCAAAUCAAACACACACACACACACAUUUAUAUAUCACAGGUACAUAGCUAAUACAGGGACUACAGAACACACAAAACCACACAUAUGCGAACAAGAUACUACACCACGGUUCAGGUUAACAAGAGACAACAGAAACGAAAUCUUACAAGCCACAAGAUUAGUACCCACAGAACAACACAAUAGUAUUUAACAACUAAAAAUUACUGGUAGAAAUUAACUAGUACAGCAAGAAGAAAUACACAGGGUGAACACACAUAUAUGCUGACAGAACACGUAUUACGAAAGUAACAAAAUAUUGCAUAUUAGUUAGUUCCCAAAGCAACAAGAAAUCCACUAUUCAGAACAUAGAAUUUAUGACAUGAUAUUUAACAAGUACGAACUGAGCAAACUAGUUGGUUGCAAACACUUAACAAAAUCUGAACCUUACAAGUACUACACAUCUCCUAUUACAGAAAAUUCAGAAAGAGAGAUAAGCAGCGACAAGAUAGAAGAAGAAGAGAAGCAGUAGGAGAUUGAGGAAGGAGCAGCAGCAAGUUCGUGGGGGAAGGAGGAGCAGCAAAAGGUUCUGAGAAGAUACAGGAAGCAGUAAGGUAGGUGAAGGGAGCAGGAAGUCGCAAGAAGAAGCAGCAGCAACGCGGGGAUGUAGAGAGGAGAAGGAGGAGCAGGGGCGCAACAAGAAGGGAGCAGCAGCGGGGCUUGGAGAAGAAGCAGUAGAAGCAACAGCAAGGCGAGGGAAGAAGGAGCAGCAGCAAGGAAACUCUCGCGCGGAGGUGCUCAGUGGUGCGGUGGUGAUGGUGGCACGGUGAAGCGGGGAGUGGUGGUGAUGGAUGGCGGCGGUGUGGAGCGUGUGGAGGUGCUGGGUGGCGCGCCGCCACGCCAGCCUGGCCGCGGCGGCGGCCGGAGAUGGAAGAAGAAGUGGUGAGGGAGAGAGAUGGAGAUGCCAGACCCGAUGGGGAUCGGCAGCCUCUAGGGAUUUUGACCCCUCCUCUGAUCUGCCACUUUGCAAUUUUGGCCCUUCUCCUUUUCUUCUUUCUUCACAAGAAGGUCCCUUUCUUCUUUAACUUGUCCCCUGGAGCAUCAUUUCUUCACACACAAGUCCCUCUGUCUUUCUUCUUUCUUUUCACUUGACCGGUUCCCUUAACCACUAGUCUGGAUCUUGAAGUUUAUAGUGCCUUUGCGCACUUUUCUACAAAAGAAACAAAUGACUAGUAAAUGAUUCUUUAUAUGAUUAUCAUUCACAAAUUCAACAAUUCAUAGCAAGAAAUGAAUGAAUAAAACUCAAUAAACCACAUAUUUGAUUGCCAGAAGAUGUAUGUGAAAUGUGUUGAUCAAGUUCCCCCACACUUAAAUCUUUGCUUGUCCUCAAACAAAGGUAGAUGACAAGAGCAAGAAUAUGAACAGUGAGCUGAGUAAAGGAUGUCCUGGUAAAAUAGAUCUCCAAACAAUGCAUGCUUUGGACUUAGCUAGUGAAAAUUGAUGGUUAAGAGUGCUACAAAGGAGUAGGAUACUAGUAAGCAUGACCAUUUUACAAUGAUAAAAGAGGAUCAACAAGUUUAAAUGAUGACUACGCCAAAUGGUUCCUAAAGAGAGCAUGAUCCCGAGAACAAAAAGAACUGGAAUUAAAUCUCUUAUUUGCAGAAAUAAAAUUUUGUGGUUGAACCACUUAUUGAAUUUGAAGAAAGUAAUGAUAAUAUUUUAUCAGUCUUACCAAAGGAACAUACCACCGAUCCCGAGAACAUGGUAUACACCUGGCUCGACCAAUCAUUAGUUUUUUUUGUUUUUCUCCCCAAAGGAAUAUACCACCGAUCCCGAGAACAUGGUAUACACCUGGUUCGACAAUUACAUUUUUAUUUAUUUAUUACUGUCCAAGCUACCAGAUUUCACAUGCCACCGAUCUAGGGAACAUGACAUGCUACUGUAGGUAGACCAGACUUAUUUAUUCAUUAUUAGCUAUCUUAAAUGAACAACGCAUAAGCACAAAAACAGGAAUCAUCACUUCUCCAUGUCUGGUUCACAUGCUACCGAUCCAGGGAACAUAGCAUGCUAAUCCAUAGUGGUUAGGUGAUUGCUCUCAAUGGGAACACACUUAGCACAAAUUCAGCAUCUAAACAUGGUGAUCUAGGUGUAUCAUAGUAAAUGCAAAAAAUGAUUAAGUUUUCUAGUGCACUAGGGAUUUGAGCACUCAAAACUAAUAGCUUCCACUACUUUCAGCAAAGCAAGCAUUGUAUAGAUCACUAGUUUACAAGGCAUUCAACACUCAGUUCACAUAUUCACAUCAAUCACCCUAUGUCGAAGGUAAAAUUCAGUGGGACGAUAUUUAAGAAAUGGCUCAAGCAACCCAACUAGCAAUUGAUUUCAGCUUGUAUCAAUAGAUGAUAUAUUCAGAUUGGGGUCAUGAAACAGCUCACCGGGCUUUAUGAAGUAGAACUCGCUCGAUCAUCUCACAUCCUCUUGCAUCGUGACUCCUCUCCUUUUGCUUCUCUAUCCUCGUGCAUGCUCCAGCUUUUCUCUUCCUUGUAUGUGCCCAUUGCUUCUCCUCUUCACCAUGCUCUAAAUCCAUCAGGGUCCCAAGGAAUGUCACCUCGAACCUGGUCAGCAUGUAGUGAACGGUGCAGUAGCAAAAACCUGAAAGAGCACUCGACAAAAGAGACCAUACAAGUGAAAGGGGUAAUGCCCUCUAAAUCAUCAAUAGAGUACCCAAUUACAUAAGCAUAGCUAUAAAGAACAUGGCGAGUAUGAUAGGAAUCAUCAAGCUCAAUACUAACAUGAGGAUGAUAUUUAUCAUUAAGCAUAGGUUUGGCAUGAGGAAAAUAAGUGUGAUCAUCAUUAAUAUGAGCAAUGCCACCAACAGUAUAUGUAUCAUCAUAUCCAAGCAAACACUUCUUCAAAUCUACUUUAACAGAUAACAUCAUGCAAUGCAAGGUAGUAGCAAACAAUUCAUAUGGACGCAUGUCAUCGAGAGGAUUAGAUAAACCUACUAUAUCAUGCUCUUGUAUGACAAUAGGAAAAUGAAUCUCAGGUUCUUCAUCUUCAACUACAUCAGCUUCUUUUACUUCUUCAUGAGUGAUAGGUAGCAGAUCUUCAUCUUGAUCACUUGGGAAUUGCAGCUCUUGAUCAUCUUGUUCCUUGUCUUCUAAUUCAUCUUCAAUCUGAGGUCUCUCUUUCUCUGGACUCUCGCUAUCUUGCUCAGCUGGGUGUGACGGUGUUGGAACCUCACAUGUAUGAAGGGGAAUCUCGGCAAGACUCAGUCAAGGAGGGAGGAGAUAGUACUUCCAGCAUUGAUGUUCUUCUGAAUUUUCCUUACUUCUUCCACUAGCUCUUUUCCACUCUUGAUCUUCUUCAUUUCCUCUAGUAUCACCGGCCUAAUUGGAUCAUCCUCGGCACUCCAAGUGAACUCGAGACUCAAAAGUGUGAGCUUGUCUAUGUCAUCGAACUCAUCUUGUGUGGGCACUUGCACAUGAGAUUGCACGAUAGGUGCUGGAAUUGUUGGUUGACCAAAUGGAGGACCAUUUAACUCCAUUGGCAACAUCUCCUGGUGCUGAGGCAUAUGAGUAGGAGGUGAAUAAAAUUGUUGUGGUGCAUAGUUGUGGCUCUCCUCAUUGUACCUAAAUCCCUGCAUUGGAUAACUAGAGGCAAACGAUGAGAUCUCAGGGUUGUUGCUCCUAUAUGACAUAUUCUGGUUUUCAGGCCACCCAUGUGAGUAAUUGUUUUGGUAUGAGCUUGGCUGUGGGGCGAAGCUCAUGCCAUAACAAUCGGGAGCGUGAGAGUAACCACGCUGACAUUCGGCGGGUGAAUGGCCCUGAAAUCUACAAAUAUGGCAUGUAGGAGCAACAUAAGGAUGACCUCUAGAAUAAGGAUCAUAAGAGCUAGGCCUAUCCUCAAAAACUACUUCUCGCUGCCGAGCUAAAUCAUCUAAUCGAUGGGAAAUAUUACUUAUCAGUUCUUGAAUACUUUCCAUGCUGUUUGUAGUGUUCCUCGCAUCUCCGAGACAAUCUGAAUAAUAUGCCAUAACCAAGUAGAUAGCUCUAACCUGCAAAAGGAAAAGAAAACAAAAAGAUACUAGCUAGAACAGGGGUUAGUGAUUAGAGACAUAUCACAAAUGUAUGGCACAAACUAGAGAAAGAAGAAAAACCUAGUCUAUAGCCUAACACAAUCGCAUGACGCUAGUCCCCGGCAACGGCGCCAAAAUGAUCAGUUGUAGGUACAGUGGGUUUUUAAUGCCCCAUUCUGUGAGUGUCGUGUUCUCCACAGGGACUAGGCGACGGCAAUGAUGCUCGGCUAAAGCUAGGUGACAGAGUUCAGAUGAUGAUUGCGAGGAAAUAUAGACCUAAACUAACCAAAGUCGACAACAAAGAAAAUGAAAAUAAGCAAAAGGGAGAUUCAGAUUUUACUCAUUGUCUUUUUGGUAUUUUCGUAAUGCUUGAGAAGUUAAAAUACUAAUACGAGUAUACAUCAAUGACAAGAGAAGUGGAAGGACAUGAACAUAACAUGACAAGGACACAUUACUAUCAAACAUAAACAAAGGGAAGAAGCGAGAAUAUAUGACAAAAUAUAAUUGUAUCGAAUCAAACACACACACACACACACAUUUAUAUAUCACAGGUACAUAGCUAAUACACGUACUACAGAACACACAAAACCACACAUAUGCGAACAGGAUACUACACCACGGUUCAGGUUAACAAGAGACAACAGAAAUGAAAUCUUCCAAGCCACAAGAUUAGUACCCACAGAACAACACAACAGUAUUUAACAACUAAAAAUUACUGGUAGAAAUUAACUAGUACAGCGAGAAGAAAUACACAGGGUGAACACACAUAUAUGCUGACAGAACACAUAUUACCAAAGUAACAAAAUAUUGCAUAUUAGUUAGUUCCCAAAGCAACAAGAAAUCCACUAUUCAGAACAUAGAAUUUAGGACAUGAUAUUUAACAAGUACGAACUGAGCAAACUAGUUGGUUGCAAACACUUAUCAAAAUCUGAACCUUACAAGUACUACACAUCUCCUAUUACAGAAAAUUCAGAAAGAGAGAUAAGCAGCGGCAAGAUAGAAGAAGAAGAGAAGCAGUAGGAGAUUGAGGAAGGAGCAGCAGCAGGUUCGUGGGGGAAGGAGGAGCAGCAAAAGGUUCUGAGAAGAGACAGGGAGCAGCAAGGUAGGCGAAGGGAGCAGGAAGUCGCAAGAAGAAGCAGCAGCAACGUGGGGAUGGAGAGAGGAGAAGGAGGAGCAGGGGCGCAACAAGAAGGGAGCAGCAGCGGGGCUUGGAGAAGAAGCAGUAGAAGCAGCAGCAAGGCGAGGGAAGAAGGAGCAGCAGCAAGGAAACUCUCGCGCGGAGGUGCUCAGUGGUGCGGUGGUGAUGGUGGCACGGUGAAGCGGGGAGUGGUGGUGAUGGAUGGCGGCGGUGUGGAGCGUGUGGAGGUGCUGGGUGGCGCGCCGCCACGCCAGCCUGGCCGCGGCGGCGGCCGGAGAUGGAAGAAGAAGUGGUGAGGGAGAGAGAUGGAGAUGCCAGACCCGAUGGGGAUCGGCAGCCUCUAGGGAUUUUGACCCCUCCUCUGAUCUGCCACUUUGCAAUUUUGGCCCUUCUCCUUUUCUUCUUUCUUCACAAGAAGGUCCCUUUCUUCUUUAACUUGUCCCCUGGAGCAUCAUUUCUUCACACACAAGUCCCUCUGUCUUUCUUCUUUCUUUUCACUUGACCGGUUCCCUUAACCACUAGUCUGGAUCUUGAAGUUUAUAAUGCCUUUGCGCACUUUUCUACAAAAGAAACAAAUGACUAGUAAAUAAUUCUUUAUAUGAUUAUCAUUCACAAAUUCAACAAUUCAUAGCAAGAAAUGAAUGAAUAAAACUCAAUAAACCACAUAUUUGAUUGCCAGAAGAUGUAUGUGAAAUGUG
rnacentral:lncRNA from 1 species